AGCAUCUAAAGGGCAUACGGUGGAUGCCUUGGCAAAACGUGCCGAUGAAGGACGUAGCAGCCUGCGAUAAGCUUCGGGGAGGUGGCAAGCAACCUUUGAUCCGGAGAUUUCCGAAUGGGGAAACCCAAUGCGGGGAAGCCGCAUUACCUUGUGCUGAAUACAUAGGUACAAGGAGGGCACCUGGGGAAGUGAAACAUCUCAGUACCCAGAGGAAAAGAAAAAGAAUGUUCGUUUUACGUUUACAUGCACACGCACGUUGCCUGUAAACGGAUAACGAGCCCAUUCCCUAAGUAGUGGCGAGCGAAAAGGGAAGAGCCCAAACCUUAAUGAGUGAAGUUGUUGUGAUCAUGUGGACUUCGGUUCGUAUGUGACCAGCAAUGAAAGAUGGAAGUCGUUGCUCCUAAGGCGUUGUAAGAUAGUUAUGUCGUCUUCUUCCAAAGACGGGUAAUGCAAGUUGUACGAUGUAUAGUGGAAGUCGUUGGAAAACGACACCAAAGAAGGUGAUAGUCCUGUACAUAAAAUACUCCCGUACCAUUACUAUGAUUAUUCUUGAGUACCACGGGACUCGUGAAAUCCUGUGGGAACCUGCCGCGACUAUGUGGCAAGGCUAAAUACACGUUUUGACCGAUAGUGAACAAGUACCGUGAGGGAAAGGUGAAAAGCACCCCGAGAGGGGAAUGAAAUAGUAUCUGAAACCGUAUGCUUACAAGGAGUCAGAGUCCCGCUUUGCGGGAUGAUGGCGUUCCUAUUGAAGAAUGAGCCAACGAGUGUGUUGUAUGUUGCUUGGUUAAGUCCUCCGGGACGGAGCCAUAGUGAAAGCGAGCGUUAACCCGCGUGAUGUGACUAAAUUCGAAUUGUUCGAUUUUUAUCGAACUUUUCGAAUUUUUUCACAGAGUAGCAUGCACACGACCCGAAACCAGGCGACCUAGCCAUGGCCAGGUUGAAGCGAGUGUAACAGCUCGUGGAGGACCGAACCCACGCGUCGUGCAACACGCGGGGAUGAGCUGUGGUUAGCGGAGAAAUUCCAAUCGAGCCUGGUAAUAGCUGGUUCUCCCCGAGAUAGCUUUAGGGCUAGCGUCGGUUAAUAGUGUAUUGGGGGUAGAGCACUGAAUGGGGUCACCGCCUUCGGGUAGGUAUCCUAAACAAACUCCGAAUACCAAUACAUGUUCCCGGCAGUCAGACUAUGGGGGCUAAGCUCCAUUAGUCGAAAGGGAAACAGCCCAGAUCUCCAACUAAGGUCCCUAAAUCAUCAUUAAGUGUAAAAGGUGGUUGAAAGGCUUAUACAACCAGGAGGUUGGCUUAGAAGCAGCCAUCCUUUAAAGAUAGCGUAAUAGCUCACUGGUCAAGCUUUUCUGCGCCGAAAAUGUACCGGGGCUAAAUGAUGUACCGAAGUUGAGGGUGUCUUCACCUAGAGUGAAGGCGCGGUAGGGGAGCAUUCGUAUUGCACUGAAGCUGUGUCGUAAGGCAUGGUGGAGCGAUGCGAAGGGAGAAUGUUGGCAUAAGUAGCAAAAAGACAGGUGAGAAUCCUGUCCACCGUAAACCCAAGGUUUCCUGGGCAACGAGAAUCGACCCAGGGUUAGUCGGGAGCUAAGGCGAGGCCGAAAGGCGUAGUCGAUGCACAGCAGGUUAAUAUUCCUGCACUCUGUCACACACUGAUGCGGGGACGCUUCGUGAAAUUUCCUGCGUCCUAUGGCUAUGACGUCGGGUGCAUCUUGGCGACUGGUAGGUAAAUCCGCUAGUCAUUAAGCUCGGAUGUAAUCGCAAGUCUGCCGCAAGGCAAGCAAGAGGAAAGGACAUGGAGCCAAGAAAAGCCGCUAGGGUUAAUGUGUGAUGGACCCGUACCCCAAACCAACACAGGUGGGUGGGCGCGUAAUGUGCCAAGGUGUACGAGAGAACCUUCGUUAAGGAACUCGGCAAAUCAGUGGCCGUAACUUCGGGAUAAGGCCUGGUUGCCCUCGGGAGAGGGUGACCCGCAGCGACUGACCACAACCGACUGUUUAUCAAAAACACAGGUCCCUGCUAAACUGCAAAGUGAUGUAUAGGGGCUGAUGCCUGGCCAGUGUCCGAACGUUAAGGAAGGGGGUCAUCCCAUUAGGGAGAAGCUUCCGACUGAAGCGCGGAUGAACGCCGGCGAUAACUAUAAUCGUCCUAAGGUAGCGAAAUUCCUUGUCGGGUAAGUUCCGACCUGCACGAAUGGCAUAACGAGUUGUGGACUCUCUCAACGAAGGACUCGGUGAAAUUGCAAGAUGAGUGAAGAUGCUCAUUACUCGUGGUUAGACGAAAAGACCCCGUGAAGCUUUACUAUAGCUUGUUCUUGGGUUCAUGUUUCAUAUGUUCAGUAUAGGUGGGAGCCUUCGGGCGCCAGUGAGAUACCACCCUUAUGUUGUGUGAAUCCUAACCAGACGCCGUGAAUCCGGUGUCAGGGACAGGAACUGGUGGGUAGUUUACCUGGGGCGGGUGCCUCCCAAAAAGUAACGGAGGCGUCUACAAAGGUUGGCUUAGCGCGGAUGGAAAUCGCGCUGGACGUGCAUACGCAGAAGCCAGCUUUACUGCAAGACCUACAAGUCGCGCAGUUGCGAAAGCAGAGGUAAGUGAUCCGACCGUUCGAGAUAGGACGGCGGAAGCUCAUCGGANNCAGUUCGGUCUCCUAUCUACCAUGAGCGUCGAUGACUGAGGGAACCCAUCCUUAGUACGAGAGGACCGGGAUGGACAAACCUCUAGUGUACCAGUUGUUCUGCCAAGGGCAUUGCUGGGUAGCUACGUUUGGUUCGGAUAAGUGCUGAAAGCAUCUAAGUACGAAGUCGAUCCCAAGAUUAGUCAUCAUUUGAGACCCCUACGAGACGAGUAGGUUGAUAGGCUGCAGGUGUAAGCGCGGUAACGCGUUCAGCCGAGCAGUACUAAUAGGUCGAUUGCUCUAC
rnacentral:rRNA from 1 species